rnacentral:rRNA from 1 species
AUUGAACGCUGGCGGCAGGCCUAACACAUGCAAGUCGAACGAGUGGCGGACGGGUGAGUAAUGUCUGGGAAACUGCCUGAUGGAGGGGGAUAACUACUGGAAACGGUAGCUAAUACCGCAUACCAUCGGAUGUGCCCAGAUGGGAUUAGCUUGUUGGUGGGGUAACGGCUCACCAAGGCGACGAUCCCUAGCUGGUCUGAUAGGAUGACCAGAGACAGUGGAACUGAGACACGUGCCAGACGCCUACGGGAGGCAGCAGUGGGGAAUAUUGCACAGUGGGCGCAAGCCGGAUGCAGCCAUGCCGCGUGUAUGAAGAAUGCCUUCGUGUGGUAAAGUACUUGCAGCGGGGAGGCGUUACGCGCAGAAGAAGCACCGGCUAACUCCGUGCCAGCAGCCGCGGUAAGAC